CUACACAUGCAGUCGACGCUGAAGCCUGGUGCUUGCACCGGGUGGAUGAGUGGCGAACGGGUGAGUAACACGUGAGUAACCUGCCCCUGACUUCGGGAUAAGCCCGGGAAACUGGGUCUAAUACCGGAUACGACUGCCGGACGCAUGUCUGGUGGUGGAAAGUUUUUUCGGUUGGGGAUGGGCUCGCGGCCUAUCAGUUUGUUGGUGAGGUAAUGGCUCACCAAGACGACGACGGGUAGCCGGCCUGAGAGGGCGACCGGCCACACUGGGACUGAGACACGGCCCAGACUCCUACGGGAGGCAGCAGUGGGGAAUAUUGCACAAUGGGGGAAACCCUGAUGCAGCGACGCAGCGUGCGGGAUGACGGCCUUCGGGUUGUAAACCGCUUUCAGCAGGGAAGAAGCGCAAGUGACGGUACCUGCAGAAGAAGUACCGGCUAACUACGUGCCAGCAGCCGCGGUAAUACGUAGGGUACGAGCGUUGUCCGGAAUUAUUGGGCGUAAAGAGCUCGUAGGUGGUUGGUCACGUCUGCUGUGGAAACGCAACGCUUAACGUUGCGCGUGCAGUGGGUACGGGCUGACUAGAGUGCAGUAGGGGAGUCUGGAAUUCCUGGUGUAGCGGUGAAAUGCGCAGAUAUCAGGAGGAACACCGGUGGCGAAG
rnacentral:rRNA from 1 species